AUUGAACGCUGGCGGCAGGCCUAACACAUGCAAGUCGAGCGGAUGAAGGUAGCUUUCUCCUGGAUUCAGCGUCGGACGGGUGAGUAAUGCCUAUGAAUCUGCCUGGUAGUGUGGGAUAACGUCCUGUAACGGGCGCUAAUACCGCAUACGUCCUUCGGUUGAAAGUGUUGGAUCUUCGGACCUCACGCUAUCAGAUGAGCCUAGGUCGGAUUAGCUAGUUGUUUGGGUAAAGGCCUACCAAGGCGACGAUCCGUAACUGGUCUGAGAGGAUGAUCAGUCACACUGGAACGGAGACACGGUCCAGACUCCUACGGGAGGCAGCAGUGGGGAAUAUUGGACAAUGGGCGAAAGCCUGAUCCAGCCAUGCCGCGUGUGUGAAGAAGGUCUUCGGAUUGUAAAGCACUUUAAGUUGGGAGGAAGGGAAGUAAGUUAAUACCUUGCUGUUUUGACGUUACCAACAGAAUAAGCACCGGCUAACUUCGUG
rnacentral:rRNA from 1 species